rnacentral:sRNA from 1 species
AUAUUUUUAUGAUAGACUGAUAUGUUCAAGGCCAGUAUUUUCAGCAUUUAACUAAUGUUUUGCGUUUUAUAUAAAAAAAAAAAUAUUUUCUUUAAGUUCAUUAUUUUUUAAUGUCUAUUAAUAGAUAUUGAGGUAUUUAAAAAGUAACAAUCAAAUUUUGUACAAAAUAAAUGAAUGUUCAGAUCAUUGAAAUCAUGGUUUGAUUUUGAAUAUAUUAUCAAAUAAAAAUACACACUAAAGGAAUUUUCGAAAUUUUGAUUAUUGUCCAACCAAUUGCACCUGCAAUUUUACAUUGAAGUCUAUGGACAGAGCAUGUUUUAUAAAGAUAUUGUAAAAUGUAACUUGAAUUUUAUAAAAAUGUCUUGGUGCUUAUAUGCAUGAAGUCUCUCUUUUUUAAAAUAUAAAAUAAAAUGAAUCAUUUG